rnacentral:rRNA from 1 species
UACGUAGGGUGCAAGCGUUGUCCGGAUUUAUUGGGUUUAAAGGGUGCGUAGGCGGUCUAUUAAGUCAGUGUUUAAAUUUUGCAGCUUAACUGUAGGUAUGGCAUUGAUACUGAUGGACUUGAAUAUUAAGGAGGUAGCUGGAAUUUAUGGUGUAGCGGUGAAAUGCAUAGAUACCAUAAGGAACACCGAUAGCGGAGGCAGGUUACCACUUGAUUAUUGACGCUGAGGCACGAAAGUGUGGGGAUCAAACAGG